rnacentral:lncRNA from 1 species
GGUAAAGGAGUCACAGACAAGAGCUGUGACCUGAUCUGUGAAUAACUCGGAUGCAAUCCAAUUAGAAACUGCAUAGCAUAAUCCUUCACUCCAUUUCUUUGCACUAUAACAUCUGUAGUUAUCACAUAUACACCAUCGCGCAGGCUAGAAAUCCUUAAAUUCAUCCCAUAGCACACACAAUUUGGUGUAAUAUGCUCCAACAUCAUCCGGGCCUUGCUUUAGAGUAAGAAAUUGUUGCUUAAGUUAAUAGAUUCUAGCCAGAUUACCUUGAGAGAAACGAUCCUUGAGAUCAUUCCAGAUCUGAUAGGCAUCAUCCAAACACAUGAUACUGGAGCUGAUUUCCAGUAUUACAGAAUUUCGUAGCCAUGAGACCACCAUGCUGCUGUUGUAUCGCACCCAUUGUGAAUGCAACAGAUCAGUAGAAGAAGGCCGCGCGAUUGAUCCAUCGACGAAGGCGAUUUUAUUUUUCGCCAUCAGCGUUGUGAUUAACGAUCGGUGCCACUUGUUGUAGUUUGAACCAUUCAACUGUUGUGUAACAAGUUGAAUUCCUGGACUAUCACUAUUCGAAAGGAAAUACAGAAUGGAUUGAUCUUCAUAGGUGGUGUGGCUCUCGCGAAUUAGAAGAUGAUGGUUUAGGAGAAGGAGCCAUGAGAAAUGGAGCAGCGGAAGAUGAAAAUUAAGCUCUGAUACCUGAUGUGUGCGAUUUAGUCGUCUAGAUUUGUGUUGUUUACCGUGUGUUUUAUUUGAUAUUGCACAAGUUCAUUGGAAUUUUGGUGCAGGAUUUGCAUGAAUGGUGAAUGGAAGCCGGUGGAUGCUAAGAGUUGAAGACAGGCGUGAAUUCAAUGAAGUUGGCCAUUCGGAUUAAC